AACCUCCUGCUUAGUGCGUGAUAAAGCUUCGAUUGGGCCUACACUUAUUUUAAGGGAGCCCGGGCUUCCGUCUCGGGAUGCAGACCUCCCGCCUCCGACCGUCUUCGUGCCGUCGGGGUGCGGACGCUGGGAGCGCAAUGUGACGGAGAGGGCACCCACCUGCAACCGCAGGGCUAAUCUCGGCUUUACACGGCUCGGCGGGAUUUCU
rnacentral:other from 1 species